AGCGAACGCUGGCGGCAGGCCUAACACAUGCAAGUCGAACGAACCUUUCGGGGUUAGUGGCGGACGGGUGAGUAACACGUGGGAACGUGCCUUUAGGCUCGGAAUAACUCAGGGAAACUUGUGCUAAUACCGAAUGUGCCCUUCGGGGGAAAGAUUUAUCGCCGUUAGAGCGGCCGGCGUUUGUUUAGCUAGUUGGUUGAGGUAAUGGCUCACCAGGGUGACGAUCAGUAGCUGGUCUGAGAGGAUGAUCAGCCACAUUGGGACUGAGACACGGUCCAAACUCCUGCGCGAGGCAGGAGUGGGGAAUCUAGCGCAAUGGGCGAAAGCAUGACGCAGCCAGGCCGCGUGAAUGAUGAAGGUGUUAGGAUAGUAAAAUUCUUUCACCGGGGACGAUAAUGACGGUACCCGGAGAAGAAGCCCCGGCUAACUUCGUG
rnacentral:rRNA from 1 species